CCUACGGGAGGCAGCAGUGGGGAAUAUUGCACAAUGGGGGAAACCCUGAUGCAGCGACGCCGCGUGAGUGAAGAAGUAAUUCGUUAUGUAAAGCUCUAUCAGCAGGGAAGAAAAUGACGGUACCUGAGUAAGAAGCCCCGGCUAACUACGUGCCAGCAGCCGCGGUAAUACGUAGGGGGCAAGCGUUCUCCGGAUUUACUGGGUGUAAAGGGAGCGUAGACGGCAGUGCAAGUCUGGAGUGAAAGGCGGGGGGUCAACCCCCGGACUGCUGUGGAAACUGGACGGCUGGAGUGCAGGAGAGGUAAGUGGAAUUCAUAGUGUAGCGGUGAAAUGCGUAGAUAUUAGGAGGAACACCAGUGGCGAAGGCGGCUUACUGGACUGUAACUGACGUUGAGGCUCGAAAGCGUGGGGAGCAAACAGGAUUAGAUACCCCUGUAGUC
rnacentral:rRNA from 1 species